rnacentral:misc_RNA from 1 species
GCAUGAGAUGAAGGCUCUAACUGGAAUACUUAUACGAGCAUAAUUUCUUGCAUGGUAUCAAUGGUUCCCUACAGCCUUUGGUUAUUCGUUCUAAUUGCUAUAGGUAUACCUCCACAUUUGGCAACUCAAAGAAAGGAUGCCGGUUCUGCACCAAACGCUCGACGCAAGACAUGGCCAUUGAAGAUUCAGUGGGCGCGCGAGACAGUGUAUCGGCGUCUUCGUGCUUCCGGCCAGACUUAUAGACAAUGGUGACAUCAUAUUCCUGUAGGCGCAAGCUCCAGCGUGCCAGUCGUCCUGAGGGGUCGCGUAUGUUUGCCAACCAACAAAGGGCAUGGUGGUCCGUCACCACUUUGAAGGGGCGACCAUAAAGGGAAUGGAAAGACGUGGAUUACAAAGCAGAAGAGCGAAAACCGGCGAAAAUAUUCACAUAUGUCGAGAACAGUCAAUCCGCAACGUAUACAAUUAAAUUCCAUUAUACAUUGGAGUACUGUGCUAUUGUAAAGACGAGAAAGGAAACAAAAGGAGGUCACAGAGAAGGCUGGGAACUAUGGGUGAAUGAGGAUUUCUUCCUGAGAAACCCUGAAGACAAAUCAUUCUGCAAAAUAAUAUAUGAGCAUUUUUCAAAACGCGAGAGAUCAAAACAAUACAAGCUUCAAAAUUGUGAAUACAGUAGGUAUAAACACACUCUGCUCGUUUGAACAGCUUCGCGCACGCGUACCAAACAAUAUGAGUAGGCAUUUAUUGUAAAAAUUAUCAUAAUAAAUUCAAUUGCAACUCUUA